rnacentral:snoRNA from 1 species
GGCCAUCUGGUGACUGCCAGAGACCGUGUGCUUAACAUUAGCUGUACAGAAAGAGGAACUGUAAAAACCUACACCAUACACACCUCAACCCAGGGCCUGGGCCCAGUCUGCAUGGCGAAUCAGAAACAUAA